rnacentral:rRNA from 1 species
UACGUAGGGACCGAGCGUUGUCCGGAUUCAUUGGGCGUAAAGAGCUCGUAGGCGGCUGUUCAAGUCGAACGUGAAAACUCGGAGCUCAACUCCGAGCCUGCGUUCGAUACUGGACGGCUAGAGUCUGGUAGGGGGAUCUGGAAUUCCUGGUGUAGCGGUGGAAUGCGCAGAUAUCAGGAGGAACACCGGUGGCGAAGGCGGGUCUCUGGGCCGUUACUGACGCUGAGGAGCGAAAGCGUGGGGAGCGAACAGG